rnacentral:tRNA from 1 species
GUUUUAAGACCGGAGCUAUCAACCACUCAGCCAUCUCUCCCCGAGACA